AGCUCAGGUCCCUCGCACCUCCCCAGGGCUCUGGCAGCAGACGGGCGGCAGCUGGCAGUGGGUCCCUUCUCUGGCAGGAAGCAGUACCAUCAAGAAAACAUGGAUGAUAUCACUGGGCUGAGAGCAAAGGAAGGCGUUUUUAAGAUUAAUCAAGCUGGACUCCUCCGAUCAACACAAGUAAAAGAAAACGGCCGUGUAAAUAAGAUCAAAAUCGUUCUUUCAACAAGCAUGAAAUAAAAGCUCAGAGUGACCGGAGAGCAGUUGAAUCGACGUCCACGGAAAUCAGCUUUCUCUUUGUGGAAAUGUGAGAUCAUGGUGCAUCAUGCUAUUUGCAGGACCUUGGAGCUAAGCAAUUGUGAAGUCACCUAUACAUGGGUGCCAUCUGGGCCGGCGGGACUCUGCUGUUUGCUCGGCCUCACACACGGCCUCCCCUAUGCUUCGGGCUCCAUGAAGUCGAUUCUGGAUCCAUCACCUGAGCCUCAUCUCCUGGAAGAUAUCCAUAGCAACACCCUCCUCGCUGCGUCCGGCUAACGUCAGUCAGUGCUAACUGCUGAUAACAGGAGUCAAUAAUGCUUGGUAGAGAUUUCCGGAAGACAUGGUUCUGGGAGGACCCGUGGGCUGAAUUGAUUACUCAAAAGUACACUCCUUUCAAUCUU